rnacentral:rRNA from 1 species
CAGUAGCCGCGGUAAUGCGUAGGUGGCAAGCGUUAUCCGGAAUAACUGGGCGUAAAGGGUGCGCAGGUGGUUUAACAAGUUAGUGGUGAAAGGCAUAGGCUCAACCAAUGUAAGCCAUUAAAACUGUUUAACUUGAGUGCAGGAGAGGAAAGUGGAAUUCCUAGUGUAGCGGUGAAAUGCGUAGAUAUUAGGAGGAAUACCAGUGGCGAAGGCGACUUUCUGGACUGCAACUGACACUGAGGCACGAAAGCGUGGGGAGCAAACAGGAUUAGAUACCCCUGUAGUCCCUGUCUCUUAUACA